AAGAUGCACAAGCAACCACUCAAGCCUCAAACCUGUAUCUGCAGCUAUAUCCAGGGACAUAAAUGUGAACCGAUACAGCCACUGAUUUAACUUAGGGCACUGUCAAAGCCGAGGUCAAUGUAUGGGGGUGGGGGGAGGAAGAAAAGCCCCCUGACAGAGACUUCCUCCCAUUUUUGGCACUGUACUAGGUUUUUACUUAUUUAGUUAGUUAUUUAGUUAUUUUAUCCCUGGCAAAAAGGAAUCCCCUUAACAUGGAGGAGAUAGAAACAAUGACCACUGAAAUGAUACUCUAUUUCUGGCCCCUGGGGAAAAUUUGUUUUUUGUUUUUUGUUUUUUAUUUAUUUUGAGGGGAUGAAGAUAGUCUGAACUUUAGGCAAUGCGGUAAUUUACUGGAGAGAAGGGUCACAAGACUCUGGGGCCCAAGCAAUUGGUGGGAAAUAGAUCUCAAAGCAGAAAAUGCAAAGUCGAUAUGGGGGAAGAUUUUUAAAUAAGUGAGUCAGAGGGACUGAGAGGAGAUGAGGCAAUCAAUCUUACCCCCUGACAGCUCCCUCCGAUGGCAUCAAAGAAUUUGGCUCUUUGGUAAAGCAGAGGGAACAGCCGAAAUUUCACAUCCCUUUAAAAGGUCUGGGGGUGGGGGUGUUAGCAAAAGAGAAAGGUGAUUCUGGGAGAGCAGGGAAACAGAUGGGAAAUGGGGACAGAGGGAAGGGUGCUGAGUUGGGUGGAAAGUUUGUCUGGAGAACUCCCACGCUCUGGCCUCCCCUCCCCCUCCUGGCUCUGCAGCCCAGCAAGGCAGAGAAGGCUGGUUAGCAAAGAAAUGGCAACUCAGCCUGGAGCUGGAACUAGAAACUUUCUGUCAGUGUAACAGCCGCGUGGGUGGUGACCCAAUGGUGGUUGGGCUUCGGGUCACGUGACUUCUUUGUAGCUCCGGAAGAGAACUGUGAAGUUUAGGUUGCAUGAAAGCAGCAAGGAGAAUUGAGAGGGAGAAAAAAACCUAGAUUUGGGGGAAUUAUCCGUUGAAAUGAAAGGCAGAUGGAAGGGCUGGGAACUUUAAAAAGCAACCUCUCGGGCCAGAAGGAAGGAAAGGAGCUCCAGCCCCGUUCUUCCCAGGUGUGUUAAUUUGGGCGCUUCUUGGAUUCUACCCUGAGGAGGCGCGUGGUGAGAGGAGAGAUCUUGAUCUGCCGCUCGCUGAGGUUCAGCAGGUUGGCCAUCUCCACGCGGCGCGGCCGGCACAGGUAGCGGUUGAAGUGGAACUCCUUCUCCAGCUCCACCAGCUGCGCGCUAGUGUACGCUGUCCGCGCCCGCU